AUUCUGAACAUGUCACCGGGGACUUUGGAAUGUGUAUCCAUAACUCCCUGAUUUUCAACCACAUUCCAGCCUGCCUGACUCAUGAAGCGUGGAGCGACCCAGGAACAUCCCAGCUCCUCAUGUCCCACAUUCUUCAGGCUUUCUCUUAGUUUUGGCAUGUGCAUGUAAAUGUCAACAGGUGAGAUCAAUAAAGGCAAAAACCAGGAGAUCCCAUAAAUCCCGCUGAGCCUGUCAUAGCUAUCAAAUUAUACCCAGAUAAAGCUUCUGGUGGCUAAUGACAUGGCCAUCACCCAGCGUGGACGUGGGCAGGAGGGGCUCUCCGGGAGCAUCUGGUCUGCUGUGGAGACACUUGUCAUCUGGAGGCUCUGUGGCUCUAAUGGAGGGUGAUGCUUUGAACGCGACUAUCUCCCCCAUAAAAAAAUAAAUAAAUAAUAAGUAUAAUUUAAAAAUAAACAAA
rnacentral:lncRNA from 1 species